CCCUUAGAUGUUCUGGGCCGCACGCGCGCUACAAUGAUUAAUUCAACGAGUUUAUAACCUUGGUUGAAAAGCCUGGGUAAUCUUUUGAACUUUCGUCGUGAUGGGGCUAGACCCUUGCAAUUAUUGGUCUCCAACGAGGAAUUCCUAGUAAACGCAAGUCAUCAGCUUGCAUUGAUUACGUCCCUGCCCUUUGUACACACCGCCCGUCGCACCUACCGAUUGAAUGGUCCGGUGAAAUCUUCGGAUUGAGACUUUGAUUUCUUCACGGAAAACGCUGUUUUAAAAAGUUGAUUAAACCUUACCAUUUAGAGGAAGGUGAAGUCGUAACA
rnacentral:rRNA from 1 species